CCGAUCGCACGACGCCCUGAAGAGCUCCCACCGAUGCCUGAAGUUCUCCAGCGCCACGUCCAUCGCCGCCGUCCGCCGUCCGCCUGAUGCUUCUCUCUCCCGCACCACGUCCGCCGCGGCGGCCACGAAGUCCUCGUACGCGCUGCUCAUUUCGUCGAUGGUGCUCUCCAUGAAGAAACACUCUCAGCUACUUCUGUUGGCUGCAGGUGUCCUUUACAGGAGACUUCUUCAAGUGUCUGUCAGAAACGGACGAAGACCGCUUCAAAUCCACCACGCUUGAAAUAUGCAACUGAUCCAAAGUUCUCGGCUAAACUCGUGCAUUGGAAGGGCAACUCAUAACACACGAAGAAGAAGAAACGCCCGACAGACUUGAACUGGGCGGCUUCAAGAAAUGGAAACCAGGCCUAAAUAGGAAUCUUUUGGUGACCACUGCUUGCCUGCCGCUGGCCAUCGAUGGCUGGGGCUGUGACUGAGACCGCCAAGCUUUAGAAUGGCUGGUGGAGAAGCGGGCUUGCAUUUUCUUCCAAGGGAAGUUUGGCCAAGAUGCCUUUGUGGACGGAACUUCAUGUUAGGUGUGCCAAAUGAGUGAAAGAGAAGGGAGUUUGGCCAUGGCAAAAGAAGGCUUCAGCUUUUCUCUGCUUCGUUUACUGGGAAGAUCUAAAGAAAGAAAGGCCAUGGCUUUCUGCUUUCUGAUAAAUUGAGGUUCUUCUUCCCUUCCGGAUUUUGGUGGAAGGCAAAAGACUCAAUUUCUCAUGCUAUUUGUGGAUCCACAUUUGCCUGUGGUUCAAUGCUAAAGAUUGCAUCAGGAGAAAGAAAGGCUCUUUUGCUUUGGUUUGGUCAUCAGAUGGCUUCCAUCUUGGCUUAUGAGGGAGACAAGCUGUUCUUGUGCAACAUUACAAGCCAUGAGAUUAAGUUUAUACAGGCAGCAUUAUAUUACAUGUUAAUUCCACUAUAUUUAGUGCAUAUUUAUAGUUAGUUCACACAAUAUUUU
rnacentral:lncRNA from 1 species